GCUAGCUAGCAUGGUAACCACCAUAAGAGGAACAGGAGACACUUUUAUAUUUCCUCUAAAGAAUUCUCAUUACUUGCAAAGCUUUAAAGUGAUGGGAUAAAGGAAAAACAGUCAUGACCCAUGACACUUGGAGGCCAAACAGUAUCAGGAAAAGCAUUAGAACCAAGGGAAAGUGGCUUUGAAACAAAAUGGCUUUUUAAAGGGGUUCCUUGUGGGUCUUGUUUUUUAUUCAGGAUAUUCUACGUUUCUCAUCAAAUGUUGGAAUGACAUUUAUCUUAGCAGGUUCUUAAACUGUGCUGGCUGAUAACACAUUAGCCAGUGCAGGGCACAGACCCAAGUCCUAGGGGACUCCUUGGACCAAUGGACUAUUUUACAAACCAGGGAGGUGGGAGGGAUGGUAUAUUUUUGAUAACCAGACAUUCCAAUGUUUUCCUUAGAGGUCAUGCGCUCCCAUUAAUGUUCUUGUGGAAAACAUCAAGUGUGUUCUUUUCUAUUUUCGUAUAAUUAUUGGGCUUUGCUUACCAACAUCACACUGGCAAAGAAAUACAUUGUAUAAAACUGCAGGAAGACAAAUGUGAAAACUUUCUGUGGGGAAAAAGCUCUUAAGUUUCUUGUCUUCUUUGAAACUGUAGUGCAAAUGUUAUAACAUGCAUAUCAUUUACAGUAUUGAGUCCUGUGCCACUGCUGUACCUGAUGUAUCCAACCUGGAUUAAACAAACUAUGUGCCACAAG
rnacentral:lncRNA from 1 species